rnacentral:ncRNA from 1 species
AACUUCAUCAGUGAACAUGGUGCCCACUCUUUUGUGGGUGAAAAGGGAAUCCAGUGAAAGUCUGGAGCGGUCCUCGCCACGGUAAGGUACGAUGCAAGACUCAGGUGUUCAAACACCGGCCACUCGAUGCAUUCGGGGAAGGUGAGUCUUUGCAAAUGAGUCCAAGUCCGGAGACCUGCCAUGUUUGCAAAAGCAAG